rnacentral:misc_RNA from 1 species
GAUGAAGAACGUAGCGAAAUGCGAUACGUAAUGUGAAUUGCAGAAUUCAGUGAAUCAUCGAAUCUUUGAACGCAUAUUGCGCUCUCUGGUAUUCCGGAGAGCAUGCUUGUUUGAGUAUCAGUAAACACCUCAACUUCCAUAUCUUUUUUGAAAUGGGAGUUGGACUUGAGUGAUCCCAACGCUUUUCCUCACCGAAAAGUGGCGGGUUACUUGAAAUGCAGGUGCAGCUGGACUUUUCUCUGAGCUAUAAGCAGAUCUAUUUAGUCUGCCUAAAAAACAGAUUAUUACCUUUGCUGCAGCUAACAUAAAGGAGAUUAGUUCUUGUGCUGACUGAUGCAGGAUUCACAAAGACAGGCUUCGGCCGACUUUGUAAACUCGAUCUCUAAGCAAGUAAGACUACCCGCUGAACUUAAGCAUAUCAAUAAGCGGAGGA